rnacentral:rRNA from 1 species
GACGAACGCUGGCGGCGUGCCUAAUACAUGCAAGUCGAACGAAGCUGUUUUAACUGGUGCUUGCACCGACUUAAACAACUGAGUGGCGAACGGGUGAGUAACACGUGGGUAACCUGCCCCAAAGCGGGGGAUAACAUUUGGAAACAGAUGCUAAUACCGCAUAAUCACAGAAACCACAUGGUUUCUGUGUCAAAGAUGGUUUCGGCUAUCACUUUGGGAUGGACCCGCGGCGUAUUAGCUAGUUGGUAAGGUAAUGGAUUACCAAGGCAAUGAUACGGAGCCGAACUGAGAGGUUGAUCGGCCACAAUGGGACUGAGACACGGCCCAUAAUCCUACGGGAGGCAGCAGUAGGGAAUCUUCCACAAUGGGCGCAAGCCUGAUGGAGCAACACCGCGUGAGUGAAGAAGGGUUUCGGCUCGUAAAACUCUGUUGUUAAAGAAGAACGUAUCUAAGAGUAACUGCUUAGGUAGUGACGGUAUUUAACCAGAAAGCCACGGCUAACUACGUGCCAGCCGCCGCCGUAA